AGUAGCUGGCGAGGAGCGAACCGAGGGAACUGAAACAUCUAAGUACCUCGAGGAAAAGAAAUCAACAGAGAUUCUGCUAGUAGCGGCGAGCGAACGCAGAUUAGGCCAAACCAUCAUGCGUGCAUGGUGGGGUUGUAGGACCUGCAUCAAGGGGAAGUUGCUAGAAGAAGUGUCUGGGAAGUCACACCAAAGAGAGUGAAAGUCUCGUAUUCGAAAGCGAUGGAACUGGGCGGGUAUCCUGAGUAGGACGGGGCACGUGAAACCCUGUCUGAAUCUGGGAAGACCACUUUCCAAGCCUAAAUACUACCUACUGACCGAUAGCGUACAAGUACCGUGAGGGAAAGGUGAAAAGAACCCCGAUAAGGGGAGUGAAAUAGACUUUGAAACCGUGUGCUUACAAACAGUCAGAGGGCUAUUGUAAAGCCUGAUGGCGUACCUUUUGCAUUAUGAGCCGCCGAGUUAUGGUGUGUAGCGAGAUUAAGCCGUUGAAGGUGUAGUCGUAGGGAAACCGAGUCUGAAUAGGGCGAUAGUUGCAUGCUGUAGACCCGAAACGGGAUGAGCUUACCAUGAGCAGGUUGAAGCGAGGGUAAAACUUCGUGGAGGACCGAACCCAUAUAGGUUGAAAACUGUUGGGAUGACUUGUGGUAAGGG
rnacentral:rRNA from 1 species